rnacentral:rRNA from 1 species
GACGAACGCUUGCGACGUGCCUAAGAAAUGCAAGUCGAGCGAGGUAGCAAUACCUAGCGGCGAACGGUCGCGUAACACGUAAGCAACCUGCCCCAAAGACCGGGACAACGUUCCGAAAGGAGCGCUAAUACCGGAUGUGCCCAUCGGGUGGACAUCGCCUGAUGAGUAAAGCGCGCAAUCGGCUUUGGGAGGGGCUUGCGGCCUAUCAGCUAGAUGGUGGGGUAACGGCCUACCAUGGCGACGACGGGUAGCUGGUCUGAGAGGAUGGUCAGCCGGAUUGGGGACUGAGAUACGGCCCAGACUCCUACGGGAGGCAGCAGUAAGGAAUAUUCCACAAUGGGCGAAAGCCUGAUGGAGCGACGCCGCGUGCGGGAGGAAGCCUUUCGGGUGUAA